GUUUUAUAAGUCUGAAUAUUUUCUGGCCCACGCAAAACUUGGCUUUUGGGCGUACGUACACUUUUAGUGACGAUCCCACGCACAUUUUUAUAAAUGAGACCACAGGAGAGGAACGUCCAGGUCUGGUUGGGAAUCACUGUUUGAGAAUACCCCAGUGCCGGGUUGAAGCCAAUCCCCGAUGGCAGGAAGCCCGCAACCUGUAAUACUGAACUGUGCCUGAGAUGAGGAGGCCUUUACCAAUUAUGCCCUCACACUGCUCUCAAGAGCUGGCAGCAGCCAGCGCUGCAGACACCUCUGUCUGCCAGGUCUGGGCUGGAGGCACAAGACCUCAGCCCCUUACUUUGUGAAAUAAGUCCUGCCAUGGGAAAAAAAAAGGUCAAAACAAAAGAACCCCUCAACGUUGACAAUGUACCUCAACAAGGGCCACAUUUCCACCAUGUCCACGCUAUAAUCAUGUGUCUCCAGAGUGUAGUGGAUGGCACCGACCACAGGGGCAAUAGCUGGGAUGUGAUGAUGAUGCCUAUGGAGUGAAUCCAGAGGCAUGAAAUGGAAAGAGAGUGAGAGAGAGAGGAUAAACUCACUUCCCCCGUUGCCAUGGCAACAUAACUGAUUUUCAUUCCAACAUCAUCUCUGAGAGCGAGGAUACAGAAGUCUAUUCCGCUCUGGAAGCAGCAUUGAGAGAGGGAUGAAUAAGAAGAAAGAGCAAAGACAGAAGAUGACCACACCACCGUGUGGCUGGAUAAAUAAAUCAUUCCCACUAGGCUAGCCUAAAGACCGGAUUUAAUCACAGUACACUUGUUAAAGGCUAUUCUAUUAAAUAUCCUUUGUUUUAUUUUAUUUUUGUUUAUUUUAAUUUGAAAGGGUUUUAUCAACAUUAAAUGUCUGCCCCUUGAAUAACCUAUUGUACUCCUAGCCAUCUCUAGAGAUUGGGCAUCCCUCUUUCAAGAUGGUUUGGGUUGAGGAGUUUGAAGGUGUACAAGUGAGCAAGUAGAGUUCUGAGCACACCCAGAUAUAUUCAGUUUUGUGUUUUGAACUGAUUAUCUGUCUGGCCUGAAUAGAUAGCAAUUGAUUUCACAGCUUUGCGUUGGUGAAACAAAUCCCAGCCAAUCAGAAUCCACAACUAUGUUUGCUCGUGCUCUCCUCACUCUGGAGAAAUUCGGUUAAAAGUCACGCAAACCUUAUCCUCCUCUGAGAGAAGCUUCCGGCCCAGGUUUUGGUUCAUCUUUUAACAUCAUUCUUCAUUCUGUUUGGGAUCAAACUGUUUUGAUUGCUCUUCCGGUUCCUCCACUUUCCUCAAGCAUCGCCAUUGUCUUUUAAAUUCCACAGAUCACCAAUUGUUAAUUUCUGGGAGAGGCUUUUAUCCUGUACUGGGCCAGACUGCAGAUAGAAAGUGUGAACUUCUGAGCUAAGAGAUAUGAGAUAGUGAAUGUGAACUUGUGAGCUAAGACAUAUGAGAUAGUGAAUGUGAACUUGUGAGCUCAGGAUGGGCUCAAGAGGGAAGUGAAUCAGGGCUGUACAAAUACAAUUGAGUUGACACAGAAUUGUUUUCAACCCAGCAGUGGCAUCACAGUGGGCCUGGUACCGGUCUCUGUGCCAGAUGAUCAGCCCGAGAGGAGCAGCAUGCCAUCACAUCUGCCGGGUCCCGGCAGAAAAAUGGAGGCAAAGUUGCCUCCAUUUUUGCUUGCCAACAUUCUGUUAGCUAAAAUAACCCUGGUGAUUCAUAACCUAAUAGCACUUAAUAAUGUAUGAAAUAUUAAGAAAAAAACAUCAAAUGUUUGUCCUUCAAACGUAUUUUGUGUGGAUGUCCUCACAUCACUGACCAGCUGAAAUAUGUUUGGGGAAUUUCCAGACGGAAGAAGUUGAU
ensembl:lncRNA